CGAAAGCCUGACGGAGCAAUACCGCGUGAGGGAGGAAGGCUCUUGGGUUGUAAACCUCUUUUCUCAGGGAAGAAAAAAAUGACGGUACCUGAGGAAUAAGCAUCGGCUAACUCCGUGCCAGCAGCCGCGGUAAUACGGAGGAUGCAAGCGUUAUCCGGAAUGAUUGGGCGUAAAGCGUCCGCAGGUGGCGAUGAAAGUCUGCUGUUAAAGAGUGAGGCUCAACCUCAUAAAAGCAGUGGAAACUACAUAGCUAGAGUACGUUCGGGGCAGAGGGAAUUCCUGGUGUAGCGGUGAAAUGCGUAGAGAUCAGGAAGAACACCGGUGGCGAAAGCGCUCUGCUAGGCCUGUACUGACACUGAGGGACGAAAGCUAGGGGAGCGAAUGGGAUUA
rnacentral:rRNA from 1 species